UGAGGAACAUGACCUUCGGCGGGGGAUAGCCGGCCCAACGGCCGGGUAAUACCGCGUACGACCUUUCGGGGACAUCCUCGGAUGGUGAAAGCAGCAAUGCGCCGAUGGAGUGCCU
rnacentral:rRNA from 1 species